rnacentral:rRNA from 1 species
CAGUAGCCACGGUAAUACAGAGGGUGCGAGCGUUAAUCGGAUUUACUGGGCGUAAAGCGUGCGUAUGCGGCUAAUUGAGUCGGAUGUGAAAUCCCCGAGCUUAACUUGGGAAUUGCAUUCGAUACUGGUUAGCUAGAGUGUGGGAGAGGAUGGUAGAAUUCCAGGUGUAGCGGUGAAAUGCGUAGAGAUCUGGAGGAAUACCGAUGGCGAAGGCAGCCAUCUGGCCUAACACUGACGCUGAGGUACGAAAGCAUGGGGAGCAAACAGGAUUAGAUACCCCCGUAGUCCCUGUCUCUUAUAC